CAGCCGCCGCGGUAAUACGUAGGUGGCAAGCGUUGCCCGGAAUUAUUGGGCGUAAAGGGCUCGCAGGCGGUUUCUUAAGUCUGAAGUGAAAGCCCCCGGCUCAACCCGGGAGGGUCAUUGGAAACUGGGAAACUUGAGUGCAGAAGAGGAGAGUGGAAUUCCACGUGUAGCGGUGAAAUGCGUAGAGAUGUGGAGGAACACCAGUGGCGAAGGCGACUCUCUGGUCUGUAACUGACGCUGGGGAGCGAAAGCGUGGGGAGCGAACAGGAUUAGAUACCCCAGUAGUCCCUGUCUCUUAUAA
rnacentral:rRNA from 1 species